AUCGACUCCGACAUUGGCUUCAGUUUAUCUAUAAGACACUCCUGGGCAAGACCCCGUCUUACCUUUCCUCCCUUCUCCAUCUCUCUAGAAGCACAAGAUCAUCUGAGCUUAUCAAACUCAUCAACCCACUCACCAGGACUACCUUCGGCCGAAACUCCGGAAGGAAGGAUCACUAGGAGGGGGGAGAAGGGUCCAGCUGCAGGCUUGGGCGUUCCCGUCAUGACACAAAAACGCCCAUCGGGCGUUCCCGUCAUGACACAAAAACGCCCAUCAGGCGUUCCUGUAGCGUUUCAUCGAUCAAUCAAGAAGAGUACCCUGGCACAUGCUUUGUCCAAUGGACCAUGGAAGGGACUUUACUUGGCUGACGAGGUAAAACGUGUGGCUGGCGCACGAUUCAUUGCAUCUCGUAGAGUAGCAUUCACUGGUAGACAGGCAGGCCUCUAGAUUGUUUAUUAUGAUUUAAUGAAGUGUUCCUAUGUGACGCUGAUGGGCCCUGGUUGCUGCUAAAUGCUUGUUGAAAGUGCAUUGUGCACUUUUUGUAUGUAGCAACAAAAUGAGGGUGGAUAUCACUUUAUAGUUUAUAGGCAUUAUAUACUAAUAAGAAUCAUUGACAAAUCACAUUCCCCUUUUACCACCACAGGACGCACCUCACCAGUAUCAGAGCAACAGCUGUGGGGUGUUUAUGCUGAUGGUGAGAUGCAUUAUUUUCAGAAAUGAUGACUGAUGACUAGUUUGUAAAACAACUAACUCAUUUGUAUGUUAAUUUCAGUACGCAAUGUAUUCUACCCUCAAAAGCAAUAUGAUUUCAGUGAGGUGAGUUCUUUCAAAUCUCAAUCAGAUGUGUAGCAUGAAAUAUAAGGCUUUUAAUAAUUUAGUCAUCCUUACUGGAGGCUACAAUUAACAUGCAUCAUAGGUCAUACACAUUACUUUGUCUUCAGGUACUGCACUUACGGGAGGAGAUGGCUACAUCUUCACAAUAAUUUACACUGCCAUAGUACACUGCUAAACAGUACUGUAACAUGGAUUUGUAUUAGGCUAUGAAGUCAUUUAAAGCAUAACUUUACUUUUCAGGGGGACAUGCUCUCUAUCAGGAGGUGGUGGUUGGACAGCUGUUGGAGACCUUUAUGCUUGAAAGCCCUGCAGAACUAGCUGGCUCCUUCUCACCCUCUCCAUCUCCCCAUCUCAGUCACACCUUCCAAUCACUAAGCAGUGAAAGCCCUGCAGGACUAGCUGGCACACCAAGCUCACCCUCUCCAUCUCCCCAUCUCAGCCACACGCUCCAAUCUGGCACAACAGAGGACAGGCCAUUCUUACCACCCGAAGUCCUUCAGCAAAUUGUACAAGAGACGCUGAGACUGGACAUGGCGAUGCUUGGCGUGUUCAACAGGGUUUCAAACACAUUCCGAGAACUAAUCAAGCCUCUCCAUCCUUCCAUAUAUAUAAAUGACAGUUUGACAGGGGACAUUAAGCUUAAUAAAAACAAUCUCAUAUACAUAAUGGUUAGAAAGAUUUACAACAAUGCAGGCUGUGGCAGUGGCCUUGCGCUACGUCUCAAAGGCUUCUCAAAAAAGAAGAAUUGGCCAAGCGCACCCCUGGUACUGAGGAACGUUGCAUAUGGCAGGUUUGUCAUAAAAGAUGUCUGCCUAGCAUAAUGUUCUUUUAUUACUCCUUUUUCAUUUUAUUUGGGACGUCUUUUUUGCAAUCCCUUCCAUUUGUAAAUGUACAUACUACUGUAGUAGAUGUAUCUGCCCAGAAAUGCUGGUAUUUUAUUACAAAUGCUAUACGAUGUAUAACAUACAUUUG
ensembl:lncRNA